rnacentral:misc_RNA from 1 species
UCGGGCAGCGACGGCAUCUCAUCCGCGCCACUUCAUGUUUCGUUCAAGUGUGCUUCUUACCUUGAUCGAAGUCGGUUUCCUGUGUUGCCUACCUAUCGUGGAGGUAUUUGAUCGGCUGAAACGUCCCGUUCCGUCCCGCGCUCCGCCUUUCCAAGGCUGCGGCGUGGGAUGGACUAAGAAGAUUCGUCGUGUUCCACAUCCCGGGCAUUAGCGUGCUUGGGUUGUUGGCGCAUGGCGGCAAUGCUCGUUCUCUCGGAUGCGGAAAAUUGAGCGGGUACGAGGCGUUUGCCCUCUAUUUGCCCCAAGAAAUGCGUUUCACGCUCUCAGCGAACGACGGCCGGACCCGUUUUGAUUGAGUCNUCGUGGCUCGCNUCAUGCGGUGUCGGCUCGUAAGNAA